rnacentral:lncRNA from 1 species
GCCACUGACCGCUCGGCGAGCCAGCGGGAGAGGAUUAGGGCUCCCGAGGCAACUUGCUCGGGGCUCAGGCCGUUCUCCCCCGAAGCUCGGGCUGCCGGGCUGUUCUGGCUCUGGCCUCCCUCUCCUCCUCUUCCUCUUCCUUCUGUCCCCUCCCGCGUUCCUUCCCGGCCGCGCCGCCUGCGCCCUCGCCUCCUGUGGCGCUGCUCCUCCGCCCUGCGCUCCUGGGGUCCCCGCAGUCCGGCUGGCCGCGUUGCGCGCGGGGCUCACUUUCUGCCGCCGGUGGCGAGUGGCUGAACUCCUAAGUGACCAGGAACAGACGAUUUUUAACCGAGUUCUGCUGCGUGGAGCCCAGGUUGGCGCUAGUGAGUGCAGUGUGCUGACCCAAGUGGUGGUGGCCCAAGGACGCGCUGACCCGUACAUUUGGCAAAGCUUUCAUUAAAUGUAUCAGAUUCUCGCGGAAGUGGUUGCAGUCCGGAGAGUGAAACAGCUAUCUCUCAAGUCCUGACCGGUUCAGCUGAAAUCUACAUUUGCACUGAAUCUGGCAAAACACGGACGGGUCCGCCCGAGAUCUCAGGAAACCCAGAGCAAGUUACCUCCAUGUAGUUGAUCAUUCUUUCUGAAAGGACGGACACCAUUUACCCCACUGCAAUCCUGUCCAACGGGCAGCUCUGAGUUUAGCUUUAGCGCCAAAGGAUUGAUUUCCCCCACCCGCUGGAGAUUUACUGGGGACGAGCGGGGGAGGGGAGGCGAAGGUACCUCGGAGGAGGUCAAGUGGGGGAGGAGGAGGAGCAGCAGAAAAUUACCAGCCAAGCAGGGGAGGGAGUUGGAAGCCCGGAAAUAUACCAGGAUGCCUCAAGUAACCUUCCUUUAAGUCUCAGAAUUCAGCCCUCGGAAAACAGCCUCAUAAGGUGUCCUGGGAAGGAGUCCUCGGGUGGGCUGCGGAGGUGAUGUCAAGAGUUACAGCUACUUUAUGAAUUAAACUGACGGCUAAGGCAUGUCGGGACAGUUUAGUGUAAGCUGAAUGGUGCGUGGACGGGGCAACUUUUAAAGAGAGGUGGGCAAUCAUUGGUGGCAUCUACCAGUAUAUUCUGCAUGUAACAGUAGUUUGGAAGCUGAAGAAAAACCCCUCAAAUCCCAGUAAAUGCCCGGUCAGUUCGAGAGAGAUUUUAGGGACAAUUUUGAAGGUCGCUGUCUGCUCCAACUCCGCAGAGAUGAACAAGAGUGUGAACUCUGGCGCGGGUGUGUUUAGAAUUAUCUACGACUUCAGAUCCAUGCUGUUGAAACUCAUCAAUUCUUUGUGACUUCACGUGGAGAGAAGAAUUUGCCCUGCCUCCCUACCUGCUAAAUGCCGACUGAGAAAAGGGGCCCAGGAGACGACCCCUUUCAGAAAGAACGUCACUUCAUCAACUCGGCUGAGUUAUUAACUUGCUCCCCGAAAGGUCAACAACGCCUUCUCUUCUCAGCCGCACCGCGCGGAGAUCAAUCGCUUUACCCUAGGUAGCCUCUUGUUCAGGGCUCAGGAACUCCUGUCUUAAGGUCCUUCUGGGGCUCAGAAGCUGUGUUGUGUAUGUUCUUUCCAAGAAUCCCACCUGUCUGCUUUCAAGCACACACGGCGCUAGAAAUUUAGCCUAGCCUGAGUCCUGGGAUGAGAGAAGAGCUAAACAAAGAGACCCCAACCGUCCCCUUGGCCCCCUGCCCCGCCGUUUUGCAGUUUGCCAACCUUCUAGCUAGACAGCCCCCUAAGUCUCCGUGUUGCGAGUGAAAGAGAAUUUUUCUAUUUCAUCUUCCCAUUGACCGAAGCAGAAAAAUUGAACCGAAUCUACGCCCCUUGUUCUGAUUCCUGCUAGAGGAAAACAGAAAAUCAUCCCGCAGGUCUCUUUCAGUCCCUGGAUGGCGAGCGCAGCCCCUGGGAGGCCACACUUAGUUCUUUAUUGUGAAUCUCUCGCUACUCAAGUUCGUUCGGGACCAGGGCCUCGGAUGGCCUCGGUUGCCCGUAAGUACGCGAAAGAAGAGGUGAAUCCAAUCGCUGGCCUAGAGGAUAGUGAUCAGACAACCCGAGGAUUACUAAACAAGGGGCGGCGGUGUCCCUGUCUCAUGGGGUUGGCGUGGGGCGGGGGGUAGGCAGCAAGAUCCUCCAGGCUCCUGGAUGCAAAGAGUGAGAAAGAAAGCGCAGCCUCUGGCAGCCUGCUUAUAAAUGCAGCCUUUCGGAAGAUGAAACUUGCAGUCUUAGGUUGUCCUCCUUUAUAUCCAUGUUCCAAUCCUCUGGGCUUUCCUCGAAAUGAAUAAAAUUGUGGAAAUGAA